rnacentral:ncRNA from 2 species
AGUAUUACAUGGCCAAUCUCU